UACGGAGGAUCCAAGCGUUAUCCGGAAUUACUGGGCGUAAAGAGUUGCGUAGGUGGCAUAGUAAGUAGGUAGUGAAAGCCUGGGGCUCAACCCCUUCAACAUUAUCUAAACUGCUAAGCUAGAAUAUAGAAGAGGUCGCUGGAAUUCCUUGUGUAGGAGUGAAAUCCGUAGAUAUAAGGAGGAACACCGAUGGCGUAGGCAGGCGACUGGUCUAUUAUUGACACUAAGGCACGAAAGCGUGGGUAGCAAACGGG
rnacentral:rRNA from 1 species